rnacentral:rRNA from 1 species
UACGUAGGGGGCAAGCGUUGUCCGGAUUUAUUGGGCGUAAAGAGCGUGUAGGCGGUUAGGUAGGUCCGUUGUGAAAACUCGAGGCUCAACCUCGAGACGCCGAUGGAAACCAUCUGACUAGAGUCCGGAAGAGGAGAGUGGAAUUCCUGGUGUAGCGGUGAAAUGCGCAGAUAUCAGGAAGAACACCCGUGGCUAAGGCGGCUCUCUAGUACGGUACUGACGCUGAGACGCGAAAGCGUGGGGAGCGAACCGG